rnacentral:rRNA from 1 species
UCAACUUGAGAGUUUGAUCCUGGCUCAGAACGAACGCUGGCGGCAGGCUUAACACAUGCAAGUCGAACGCCCCGCAAGGGGAGUGGCAGACGGGUGAGUAACGCGUGGGAAUCUACCGUACCCUACGGAAUAACGCAUGGAAACGUGUGCUAAUACCGUAUACGCCCUUAGGGGGAAAGAUUUAUCGGGGUAUGAUGAGCCCGCGUUGGAUUAGCUAGUUGGUGGGGUAAAGGCCUACCAAGGCGACGAUCCAUAGCUGGUCUGAGAGGAUGAUCAGCCACAUUGGGACUGAGACACGGCCCAAACUCCUACGGGAG